rnacentral:lncRNA from 1 species
AACCCAUAAUGUUUAUCUGCCCAACGGUCUCCAAGUGGUUGUUUUUCUGGCCGUCCUCUCACGAGCUCACAGCGUCCUUGGAAACAGAUUGUGCACUAAACCCUGACCUCCGUCCCGGGCGCCGGGAGGCGGCUGCAGGGACACAGGGGGACAGCCGCUCGGCCUCGCUCCCCGCCUGGGAGACACGUUGGCGGGUGUGCUGGGAGAAGCUUCAUAACCCUCUUCCGGAGAACUCCAUCGGGUCUCCAGGAAAAGGGGGGCGCUCGGAAAGGUUACGGGAGGCCGCUAGGAGCAGAAUCCUAAAUGGCUGAUCUGCCAGCCAGCACGCUGACUCCCGCGGAGCCCCCACCGUGGUCCCCCCUCAUCCAACGAGGCUGUUCCCCACCACCCUCCAGCCCCCCGGCCCUCCCCGAGGAUUGAACGCUGGAGAAUGAGCCCAGCGCCUCCAGCCCCGCCCGCCCCUUCGGGUGACCCGGCCAGGCCAGCAACCCUCAGAGCCACCGCGGACCCUUGGCGCCCAGAAGACAUCCCCGGACGGGCCCGGUCGCCCCUCCUCUGUAAAGUGGGUCUCAGAGGGGUAAACUGAGGCCCAGAAAGGAAAACGCCCCCUGCCCUGAGUUGGUGCUGGAGUCUGAGCCUCUCACCCCGUCGCACAAUCGGGGAAACUGAGUCCCGGAGGGGCGUGCAGCUCAGCCAAAGGGCGGAAGGAGGAAACCAGGCCGACACCUCGGAGACCAGAGCUCACGCCCUCGCUUUGAUGCCCGUCGGGGCUGGGAGGACGCGCCAGACGCCUGCCUCAGUUUCCCUCUCCUCCGAUGGCAGGGUCCGUGAUGGAGGGGGGAAGCGUAGGGGGCUCACAGAGAGCCCGUCCAUGAGAAAGACCCCCUCGCCUCCCUCCGCCCUUUGCCCCUUGGGGGCUGGACCUCCGGGGGGCGGGGAUCCCCUGGAACGACUUUCAUAGGUCGUUUUCCAGAGCUUCUCCCACCCCCAGGAGCCGGUGCUGUGGCCCAGACCCAGGGAUGCAGAACCCACGGCCCGUGGUGGGGCGACCUGGACAUGGGCGCCCCCAACCCUGUGUGGCGGGGACAUCAGAGCCUGGGGAGAGGGCAGCCCUGGGGUCCCCCCAGCCUGGCGUGCGGCCGAUGUUUCCUGGAGGAGGGGGGUGGGGGCGGCCCCCUCCGCCCAGGACCCCGCUGCUUUGGGGGUCCCCAGUCUCAUCCACCGGCUGCCCCACACCCAGCUCCUGAUCCCGGAGGCCUGGGUCUCCCUCUGGGUUCACCCCAGGACCUGUGGGGCCUCGGUUUCCCCAUCUGCACAGGAGAGAGGGGGUCUCCUGCCCGGCUCCAGGACCCCCGACCCCACAGGCUGCAUCGUCCAUUAGGUCCCAUCCACGGCCUCCGGGCCUCCGUCUCUGGGUCGACGGGGCGGGUCAGGGGCUGUGGGGUGGGUGGCCCCCGGG